ACAGCCUGCUGACCUCCCCUGGCCUCUGCCGUGGCUCUGGGUGGGAUUCCCGGGGCUCAGGGAUUCCCGGGGUGCACGCACAGGGUGACAUUGCUGCCAAAACCCACCCCAAAACGC
ensembl:snoRNA small nucleolar RNA ACA64